UACGUAGGGUGCAAGCGUUGUCCGGAAUUACUGGGCGUAAAGAGCUCGUAGGUGGUUUGUCGCGUUGUUCGUGAAAACUCACAGCUCAACUGUGGGCGUGCGGGCGAUACGGGCAGACUUGAGUACUGCAGGGGAGACUGGAAUUCCUGGUGUAGCGGUGAAAUGCGCAGAUAUCAGGAAGAACACCCGUGGCGAAGGCGGCUCUCUGGGACGGUACUGACGCUGAGACGCGAAAGCGUGGGAGCGAACG
rnacentral:rRNA from 1 species